rnacentral:lncRNA from 1 species
GGUUGUGGUUGAGCUGGUAGCUUAGCCUUCUCUUGAGCACUUAAAGCAGUGGUCAGCGUUGUCAGUUGAUUUCUUUAUCAUUGAUUUUAGCUUGACCUUGCAUGGAAGAUUGCAAAGUUUCUUCGAGACUGAAUUUUUGAGGGGGUGCAUGUGCAUAAUGAGGUUGCGGAGGUGGAGGAGUUGGGUUAUAUACUUGUUGAGGUUGGUCAUUCCUCCACCU